rnacentral:rRNA from 1 species
UACGAAGGGGGCUAGCGUUGCUCGGAAUCACUGGGCAUAAAGCGCACGUAGGCGGAUUGCUAAGUCAGGGGUGAAAUCCUGGAGCUCAACUCCAGAACUGCCUUUGAUACUGGCGAUCUUGAGUCCGGGAGAGGUGAGUGGAACUGCGAGUGUAGAGGUGAAAUUCGUAGAUAUUCGCAAGAACACCAGUGGCGAAGGCGGCUCACUGGCCCGGUACUGACGCUGAGGUGCGAAAGCGUGGGGAGCAAACAGGAUUAGAUACCUA